UGGCGUUAUAAACACGCUGCGGGGAGACGUUAGGAACUUUGUUGUUUGGAAACUUUUUGUUGUUUCCCGGUUUUUAGCCUCCUUUUCAGCAUUUGCAACGGCUUGUGGUGUCGAUUACAAGUGGCUUGAACACAUAUCAGUCAAAUGCUGCUGCGUCAGUGGAGCUUCCAUUCACCAGAGGGCAGAAGACUUUCCUCGUGUCGGGUGAACCCAGUGGCCUGAAGGUGAUGUAUCAGUCACACUUCUCUUUGACGCUGACCAGGCCAUGCAUGAUGGACACUUCUCUGACCAAGUUAUUACAGUUUCAACUCUUCUGGGAAGGCUGUCCACAAGGUUGCAGAGUGUUUUAAAGGAUUUUUGACCAUUCUUCUAAAAGCGCAUUGGGGUUUUAUCCGGUUCAGGUCAGGACUCUGUGCAGGCCAGUCAAGUCCCUCCACACCAGACUUUGUCAUCAAUGUCUUUAUGGAUCUUGCUUUUUCCACUGGUGCACAGUCAUGUUGGAAAAGGAAGUUUGGGAGCAUGGAAUUGUACAUACAUACACAUAUAGAUACAUACACAUAUAGGUUUUUUUUUUUUCCCAAGAUGGCGCUGCUGUAGUGGCUGCUGUAGGCAGGAGCUCUGUGCUCUUGUGUCAUCCUUUUGUGUUUCCCUUUUGUUUUCAUGUGUUAGUAUAUUUUUUUGCCUUUUGGUCCGGGACCCUUUGGGACUGUGUGACAAGGGGUGGCACUUUUGACCUCUGUGGUGCUUUUUUUGUGGACUUCUGGAUCUGCCUCCUGGGAGCCUUUUGGCCAUGGAAACCAGCUGCUGGGUCUCUGCUACACCAGUCUGUUUGGAGGGACUGGAGGAGAUGCGGAUGAGGGGACAGGACUGCGGAGCUAGCACUGAGCUACUGGGACGGAGAGGCUUCGCGGUGUCUUGACUGGGUGAGCAGGUGUCGGGCACCUCAGUCACCUUGGACGUAUCCUCGCUCAUCCAUGCGGACUGGACACUGGCCGAGAGUGGAGUCGGCUGUCUUGGUUGCUUUGUUGGGUCAGCUCCUGUCUCUGGCCAUGCUCCCUCCACCCCAGCAGACGAUGGCGUGGAACACCGCAGAGGCCACCACAGUGGAUAUGUUUCUUUUACUUUUUAUUCAUAGCUGUAUGUAGAAGUGUCUGCUUGUAUCUGCUGCUUUAAUGUCUUUAAUGUCCUCUGUGUUCUUUGAUGUUUGAUGUUUCCCUCUUACACACAUGUAAGAGGGAUGUGUACUAUGGCUAUGAGUUGUUGUUUUUUUCCCUUAGCCUCAGUCUGCACCCCCACUCCAGGGCCUAGGCUAAGACCGAUUUUUUAAAUUUUAUUUUAAUCUUCUAUUCUUUUCUCCCCACCCCUUGUUUACCUGUAUGUUAUCUUUUUUGUAAGGGGCGCUGGAAGCCGGCAGACCCGUCGGCGAUCCUGUUCUGUCUCCCUGUAAUGUUUGUCUGAUCUUGAAUGGGAUUGUGCUGAAAAUUGUAAUUUUCCUGAAGGAACUC